AGGUUAAGAAGCUUACAGUUGGGAGUGCUUUCUCCCUGACUGAGAGGCAGGAGGGUGAGUGGCUGCAGAGGACAGACAGAUAAAACAGCACAAAAGCAUCACUGAUGGAGGAAGAUCAGACAAGUGCAGGAGAAGCUGAGUAGGAUAACAGCAGAUGAAUAGGUCAGGUAUCGAUGAGAAGCAAAUCCCCCACCUAAAGAGGAUGAAAAUCCCACAACAUCUUGCACCACAAAGGUGAAACCUCUCGGGUACAGGUUCUACCUGACCUCCAGAACAGGAAAUUGGAUUAGUCAGGUAAGCAAGGAGACCACGAGAGCAACUUCUGCACCACCCAUAACCCUGCAAAACAUCACCAAGGCCUUGCACAGUGUUUAAUAAUGCUGCAGCAUCGGGAUGGGAUCAUGAGAGAAUCAACUGGUUUCUGCCCUUGGUAUUACAACAUGUUCUUGAACUGCUCUGAUCUUACUCCUCCCAUCAUUAAGCCUCUAGUCAGUUAAAACCUACACAACCCCUCCCAAAUCAUGUGGGAAAGGGCCACCUUCCAUCAGCCCCAGAGAGGGAGGAAGCCCAGACUGGGCAGAACUUUGCAGGUAUUUUUCUCUUGAGGUCAUCAGAUGAGUGUCAUCAUUUUAACUGGAUCAGCUCAACGAUGCUGUCCUGCCCAUCCUUUGAAAGCUGGACAAACCAGCGUGUGAGCUUUAAACUGGCAGAGAUAUUAAUUUCAAAUCAAUAUGAAACACAAAAAUAUCAAUAGGCAUUUAAGAGGUGAAACAUUAAUUACUUUUCAAAAGGUGCAGUACACAAAUUUCCUGGUGUCUUUACAAAUAGAAAUAACGAUUUCAUAACAUUUAUAAAUGACUAAGUUAAUUAACAGGGAA